rnacentral:rRNA from 1 species
GAUGAACGCUGGCGGCGUGCCUAAUACAUGCAAGUCGAGCGAACAGAUGAGGAGCUUGCUCCUCUGACGUUAGCGGCGGACGGGUGAGUAACACGUGGAUAACCUACCUAUAGACUGGGAUAACUUCGGGAAACCGGAGCUAAUACCGGAUAAUAUAUUGAACCGCAUGGUUCAAUAGUGAAAGACGGUUUUGCUGUCACUUAUAGAUGGAUCCGCGCCGCAUUAGCUAGUUGGUAAGGUAACGGCUUACCAAGGCAACGAUGCGUAGCCGACCUGAGAGGGUGAUCGGCCACACUGGAACUGAGACACGGUCCAGACUCCUACGGGAGGCAGCAGUAGGGAAUCCUCCGCAAUGGGCGAAAGCCUGACGGAGCAACGCCGCGUGAGUGAUGAAGGUCUUCGGAUCGUAAAACUCUGUUAUUAGGGAAGAACAAAUGUGUAAGUAACUAUGCACGUCUUGACGGUACCUAAUCAGAAAGCCACGGCUAACUACGU